rnacentral:rRNA from 1 species
UACAGAGGGUGCAAGCGUUGUCCGGAUUUAUUGGGCGUAAAGCGUCUGUAGGCGGUUUAUCAAGUCUGUAGUGAAAGAAUGGAGCUCAACUCCAUACCCGCUUCGGAAACUGAUAGACUAGAGAAUGUUAGAGGUAAGUGGAAUUUCAAGUGUAGCGGUGAAAUGCGUAGAUAUUUGAAGGAACACCAGAGGCGAAGGCGGCUUACUGGGACAUUUCUGACGCUGAGAGACGAGAGCCAGGGGAGCGAAA